rnacentral:misc_RNA from 1 species
GCCUUCCUUAGACCAAUUCUAGUCUAGUUCAAGGACCAGAACCAUUGACCCAGUCCGAACUAUGGCUAGGUCUACAUCCCCUCACCUUUCAACUAGUAGUGUGGAAUCGGUCGGUUUGGUUCAACUUUAAAAACUGAACUACCAAAUUUUCAUAAGAUGGAAACUGAACUGAACCGAAAUUAUAGAAGAACCAAAUUGAACCGAACCAAUUCAGUUCGGUUCGGUCCAAUCAGUUUUGGAUCAUCGAUUUUAGUGAGAAACAGGGGAGACAAUAUGAGGUGAAGAAGAAGAACAAGAAGAUGGGGACGAGAGGAAGGCCUUCUGGCGUGAUGAGGAUCUGUUGAGAAUGAAGGAGGGAGGAUCUGGGUCUCAUGGCCGUGGGUUGAAGAUGAAUUGUUGGAGCUGUUGAAAGAAAGAAAGGUUUUGUUUUAUACAUGGCUAACAAAUACAAUGCAGUAUAGACUAAAUAUCAGUUUGGUUUGGUUAUUUUGGUUUUUUGACAUUUAUUAGUGAACUGAAUAGGUGAAAUUUUUUAAAAAAUAUAUCUGAAACCGAAUUGAAAUACCAAAAAACUGAGUUAAAUUAUUCAGUUCAAUUCGAUUUUUCGGUUAAAACCGUAUAAUGCUCACCCCUACUUUCAACGUUGUUAAGCGACCACUCCGACUUAAUAUUGAACCACAUUUUUUUUGGAAGUUAAAUGUUGAUAUCCAUGAGGGUUUAACCCAAUGUACUAAACACAAUUGGGGUGAAAUAUCAGUUUAGAAAUGUUCACCCCAUCAAACCCCAGAUCAUUUCAUUCCUUCUAACCUUUCAGAUGCUGCCCUAACAUAAACUUUUUGUUGAUUAUAUUAUGGUCAUGCAUGUCACAUGAUUAGGUGCCACUUGCCAGCAAUCAUUGCUCAGAUUUUUAGUGCUUUUACUGAUGCUAGACUUUGUUGUUCUUAGCGACUUUGGAGACGAACCACAUUUGGUCUGACCAUCACUAUAUUUACUACAGGCUCUUGGAGACCUACUUGAA